ACCUGGCUGGCUUAGAAGGUGGAGCAUGUGACUCUUGAUCUCAGGUCAUGUGUUCAAGCCUCACGUUGGGUG
rnacentral:tRNA from 1 species